rnacentral:rRNA from 3 species
UGCCGGCCAUAGCGACGGGGUUCCACCUGGUCCCAUUCCGAACCCAGAAGUUAAGACCGUCGACGCCAGUGUGUUACUGAGGUCCCAACGGUCUCGGGAAGCAAUGGUGCCGGCACUUUAU